rnacentral:rRNA from 1 species
UACGUAGGGAGCAAGCGUUGUCCGGAAUCAUUGGGCGUAAAGCGCGCGUAGGCGGCCCCGUAAGUCCGCUGUGAAAGUCAAGGGCUCAACCUUUGAAAGCCGGUGGAUACUGUGGGGCUAGAGCCCGGAAGAGGCGAGUGGAAUUCCUGGUGUAGCGGUGGAAUGCGCAGAUAUCAGGAGGAACACCAAUAGCGAAGGCAGCUCGCUGGGACGGUACUGACGCUAAGGCGCGAAAGCGUGGGGAGCGAACAGG